UAGUCUCAAGCUUUUGGGGCAUGCAUUAGCAAAUGUAUUUUAAAAUCAUAAUACUGUAAAAUAAAAAAAGUUAAAGAAAAUUUUAAUGCUGGUGACAUGUGCUUCAAAUAUAAAAAGGAGAGAAAAUAAUAAAAAACUGAAAUAGCAUAUUGUACAUGUAAGAAAAAUAUAAUAAAAGUUUUAAAAAUUCAAAAAUAUAGCUUAUAAUCAUUGACACACUGUGUUAGCUAAGAAAAUAUAGAAUUCAAGGCUUUCUCACCAAAAAUAAGAUCCAUUUCCUCUUCAUAUCUGGCCAUGAUCCACUGUGAGUGGAAGCAAAUGAAUUGAACAGUAGUACAAAUAUGUGGUAUCAAUAUUCCCAAAAUUCUCAAUAGCCCAAUUAAUUACAAUAGCAAACAAACACACUAUCAUAUUUCACAUAAGUUGCUGUAUGGCAUUUUAAAAGCUUAUGAACUGAUGGAUAUUUGUCAUAAGUUUUCACAAACAUAGCAAAUCUUUCAACCUUGGUAAUAACCACUUUUGAACAAAGUAAAACUUAUCUUGUGUUAAGAACAUCAUCAAGAAAUCUAGAUAUAUUUCUGGUGGAAGUAAAGUAGUGAGCCGAAGAGUAUAAAUGAGGGGUGCUCCUUUUUUGGAGGCUUUUUAGGGGUACAAAGCCCUGAGAUUAACUGCCUAGCUUCCAUUCACAUGUUUAGAAAUGUGGGAAGGUUGGGGGUUAUAAAAUGUAUUUCACUUCAGCUACUAGAAUGGGCCUUACACCUCAUAUUAGGGGCAGGCAAAAUAACCAGAGAUUGUUAAAAAAUUCUAAAAAUCAUGUCAAGAAAACCCUUAAAAUCAGUUGAGAUAUUUAGCAUAUUAAAUUUUCCAAAGGUAAUGUUAUACAAUUGUAACCAGUUCUGAUGGAGUCUAUCUAUCCUCUAUGUGACAAUUUACAAAGUCAAAAAUAGAAAAGCUGUUUUUCAUAUGGGUUUAAUUACAAAGAUAUUUGUUCAAUGUGGUUAUAGGGGAAAAGCAACAGAAUAUAACAGUAGUUAAAACUCAGCACAUUAAAAUGAACAGUAUAACAGAAUAAUAUUGAAUGCAGUAAUAUAUGAACUUAAAAUCACAAAGUUAAAUCUUAAACAAAGCAAACAGCAAAUGCAAUAGAAUACAGAGAUUUUUAUAAACCAUUGGAGUCUGAAAUGUCUUAAAAUAUAACCUCUAGUCUCUUUAAAGUUCCUUGGGUUUUUAUCCACUUAGAUGCCUAUUGUCAGAAGGCAGAAGAUUGGUGAGGGCUAGGCAAUGGGGGUUAAUGGACCCAUCCAGGGCCACAUAGCUGGGAAGUAUCUGAGACCAGAUUUCAACUGAGGACCUCCUGUCUCUAGGCGUGGCUCUCAGUCCACUGAGACACCCAGCUGCCUUGCCAAAUUUAGCUAAAGGGUUGUAUGGAGCUGAAUUUUUUCCCCUGACAUGCAGGUGAAGUCAAUAGAAGGAUCAAUGCAAUUAAAAGAUAUCCUUGUAAAAUAGCCAUGCUUUAAAGUUCAUGUUCGUAAAGUCUUUCUUUUUCCCUUUUUUCUCUCUCCUCCUAUGAUCUCCUCCUGCCCCAGUCCACAUGGCUAAUCCUAGCCUAAGGGAAAAUUACCCCAUUUAUUACCAGCUGGUUUUUGAUCCUGAAGAAAUUGGGUCUGCUAUCAGCAGCCUGGGGUGAUGGGCGGUCUGCUCCGAGGCUACAGUUUGCUGGGGUUCAGCUGGGCCAGAGACAUGUUAGGAUAACUGGUAAUGACCAAGGAUGCAAUCGAUGACUUUGGCACAGUGGAUAGCCUUGAUGUCUUUGAUGUCUAACCAAGCGAUCUUAAAAGGAUGAAAGAUUUAAAGGCUGGGUAAACUCUGAUCUAUUGGAGAAAUUAGAAGAAGCCAGCAUGCUCUGCAGAAAUGUUGGAUUAUAGCCACAUGAGGAAAGAGUCUGUUGACAUCUUCCUGUGCUGAGGGAGCCUGGAAUAUGAUAUUCUGGGAGGCAAAGGAGAUAGGAGAUAAUCAAGAAUUAUCUAUCCAGCAAAAGCUCUGCAACCUAUUUUUCUAGUGGAAUAACCUGGGGAAUAUGUUUCUGAAAGUCUUGAAGGUGAAAAACAAAAAGUCUUUGUAACAACAGAAAGAGAAAUAAAAAAUCAAAUGAA